CUUUCUUUGCUGGCGACCGGCGCACGGGUGAGUAACACGUAUCCAACCUGCCCUUUACUCAGGGAUAGCCUUUCGAAAGAAAGAUUAAUACCCGAUAGUAUAAUGAUUCCGCAUGGUUUCAUUAUUAAAGGAUUCCGGUAAAGGAUGGGGAUGCGUUCCAUUAGGUUGUUGGUGAGGUAACGGCUCACCAAGCCUUCGAUGGAUAGGGGUUCUGAGAGGAAGGUCCCCCACAUUGGAACUGAGACACGGUCCAA
rnacentral:rRNA from 1 species